UUCUGUAUAUUUCAAUUGUGCAACUGGAGUCACUUGAGGCAAUCAUGUGGUGUUUGGUAGGAACACUGGUAGCCAAUAUAGGUAAUUAAGCAGCACAGCUGGAGAGAAUUGGUAGUUAUAUGCAGUCUAUAUAAGCAUAGUGAGUACAAGCAACAUUUGUGGGUUUUGUGAGGCGAUAUCAGUUAGUGAAUUUACAGCAGUUAGACAGUGAUUAGAAGGCAACUAUAGCCAGUGUGGUUGAGCAGAGCUUGUGAGAGAGUGGACUUCUGAAAGUGAGUGACUGAGGUGUGCUAGUUGGUUUGUGUGGUGUGUCUUUGAGUCUGUGUGUUUGUGGUACAGUGGAGUAGGUAGAUAGGUGGACAGGUGUAGGUGAGGGAAAUGGAUCCCAAAAUUGUGAGGGAGCUUCUGGAGUUCAAACUCCACAAUCGCUAUCCUGAAGGAUCAACCAGCAGGGAAAGGUUUACAAUCAAGAGAAGAGCUGAGACCUUCAGGAUAAAUGCUGAGUACAAUGGAUAAUGUCAUGUAAACCAUCAGAGUGUAGUAUUGUGCUUUAAUGUGACCAUUUCUUUUUUUUCUCUUUUUUCUUGUCUUGCCUUACAUGCUUAAUGUAGAUGGAGACCUGUAUUAUGUAUGCAGGCGGAAGAAGAACAAAACUGAGCACCUGGCAAAAGUGGUCUGCUCUGCCAAAGAGGCAAAUGACAUUUUUGAGGAAUUUCAUUCCUGCCACUUUGGUGGACACUGUGGAUGGGAGAAGACCCACAGUGCUGUCAUGGCACGCUAUUACUGACCUGGCAUGGAGGGAGACAUUAAAAAAUGGGGGAGCACAUUUUGUCUGAAUGAGCCUCAAACUCAUUUUGAAAAUCCCCCUUUUGUGUUUGUUUGUUUUUCUGUUGUUUGUUUUUUGUCUUUUGUUUGUACUUUGUUGCUCCUGUCUAACCCAUAUUACCUACAGCUCUAAGGCAUUUUACUGAUUAUUAGCAUAUAAUAUUACUUCAUUUGUCAAUAGGUUGCUCAGUGCCCACAAUGCCAGUGUAAGUGGGCCAAUAUUAAGGAAAAGAAAGGAUACAUUCCAAUCAAGGUCACGGAGCCCUUUGAGCUCGUUGGAAUGGAUCUUGUGGGUAAACUGACCUUAAUGGAUGGUGGUAAUCAGUAUAUUUGUGUAAUGGUUGACUAUUUCACCAAAUGGGCAGAGACCUACCACUGAAAAACAAAACUGCAGAUGAGGUCGCCAGCUGUAGUCUGGAUUUUUUUUUUUUUUACAAAUUUUGUGCACCUAAAACUGCUAACAGACCAGGGCUCAGAGUUUUGCAACAAGGUCAACUAUGGCUUGUGUAAAACCCUGGGCAUCCAAAGAAGCCUCUGCUCACCAUUCCAUCCCCAAACCAAUGGCUUGGCGAAAAGAUUAAAUGGAACAAUCCAGAGGUACAAUACUGUCAUUUAUAUUUUGUGCUGUAACUAUGUCUCAACGCUGGUUAUUUAGUAUUUUGUUCUUUU